UACGGAGGGAGCGAGCGUUGUCCGGAAUCAUUGGGCGUAAAGAGCGCGUAGGCGGUCCGGUAAGUCCGCUCUGAAAGUCCGGGGCUCAACCCCGGGAGGCGGGCGGAUACUGUCGGGCUAGAGUCCGGAAGAGGCGAGUGGAAUUCCUGGUGUAGCGGUGAAAUGCGCAGAUAUCAGGAGGAACACCAAUGGCGAAGGCAGCUCGCUGGGACGGUACUGACGCUGAGGCGCGAAAGCGUGGGGAGCGAACAGG
rnacentral:rRNA from 1 species